CCCUUAGAUGUUCGGGGCCGCACGCGCGCUACACUGAAGGAAUCAGCACGUCUUUCUCCUUGUCCGAAAGGACUGGGUAACCCGCUGAACCUCCUUCGUGCUAGGGAUUGGGGCUUGUAAUUCUUCCCCAUGAACGAGGAAUUCCCAGUAAGCGCGAGUCAUAAGCUCGCGUUGAUUACGUCCCUGCCCUUUGUACACACCGCCCGUCGCUACUACCGAUUGGAUGGUUUAGUGAGAUCCUCGGAUUGGUCCCGGCGCGGCCUCUGAUCGUGCCGGAGUGCCGAAAAGAAUGUCGAACUUGAUCAUCUAGAGGAAGUAAAAGUCGUAACA
rnacentral:rRNA from 1 species